GUUAGGAUCUAGCGGGUUGGACAAUGACUGACUGACUGCAGAAAACACUUUCCAUAUACUGUACUGAGGAUUCUUCUUUGUAAAGUAUACAUGUGUGGGUCUUCUCUAGGAAGGGAACUGCAUGUAGCUAAAAGUGUUUGGCAGAAGAAAAAACAAUCAUCAGCACUUUUACGUACUCACACAUACCCAGGAUAAGAAUGGAGUCAUCUUCUCUUCAAGACUUUCUUGGACCCUCCUGCUGCUCCUAUCCCAUAAUCCAGUCUACCUGUGGACUUCACCUCUCUUUCAAGAUUGAUGAUACCCAAAAACAGUUCAAGACUCUACAGACUUCCUUUAAACUGCAAUUGACUAGUUCUUCUUCCUCAACCCCCUUCUUUUUCAGAUUCCUUCCUGCUCCUCAACAUCUCCUGGAUUGAAUGACAUUUCCUUGCAUUUUCUUCAGUUCAUCUCUCUUUUUCUUAUUCCUUUAUCUCCUUUUAACUCUCCAUUGAGCACUUUCCUGCAGACUGCAAGCAGUCAGUUGUGAUACUCACUCUCAUGAAGAUCUGCCUCUCUUUCUUUCUGUCUCUCAUUCCUUCUGCUAUUGAGAAUUACCAUUAAUCCAGUCUAUCUUCUACAAUUUCUGUCCAAUACACUGAAACACACAGUUCAUAAUUAACUCUCCCUUUUUCAUUCUGGCAUCAACACACAAAGUUCUCCUCAGUUUAGUUUUUGCCCGGCCAUCCACUGUGGCUGUUCUACUUCCAGGCACAAAUUCAGCUAGCUAUGCUUGAAUUACAUCUCUCACCUUCGUCUUUAUGCUUCUUAACCCUUCUUCAGCUUUUGGCAGUUAACCUCAUCCUCCCUUCACCUCUCCUUUAUAAAUGUCACAGGUAUCUAAAGUCUUUCUUUUUUGAUCGGUCCUUCUAUAUAUCAUCACCAAACUCUUUACUUUUCUGAAACUCUUGAUAGGGUUGUCUCAAAGAUAGGUACUGGGCCCUCUUCUCUCCACUUGCUACAUUUAUGGUGUGAUGAUGGACAAUUAGUUGCCUUUUGUUCAAUCAACACAUUUUGUCAAUGAAGUAGUCCUGUGGUUCCUCAGUUCAUAACAUUCACAAAACACAACUGUUCUUCACUACCAAUGUCACUCAUCUUGUUUUAUCUCAGUUGAGUUACUGCAAUUCUGUUUCACUGGGGCUCCAAGAAACCAUUAUCAGACCUCUUUAGCACUUUUACAAUGUAGCUUCUCAGCUGGUGUACUCAGUUCUUUGUUUCCCCCACUCUACUCCUUUGCUUUUCUCUCUCCACUGGCUUGCAUUUGUUUUGUAGUGAGGAUCUGAUUCAAAUCUCAUGUCUUGACUAAUAGUUCCCUGCGUGGUUGUAUUCUUUAAAACUUCCAAUCUGGGAUAUCUGUAAUCUGUGCUCCAAAGUCUUCACUCUGUCCACUGACUGUCCCUUCUCCUACAAGAUGUAUCAAAACUCUGUUAUUCCUUGCAAGAUGUGGAAUGAGUUUCCCUUGACUACUGAAUUGGCUUCCAAUCUACUAAUGUUCAGGUUCCUCAUAAAGACAAACCUCUCUACAAAACAUCUUGGGACUGCUCAAACAUUUUACCGCUACUCUUUGCUCUUUCUUCCUAGAUAUCUACAAUCUUAUUAACCCAAGAGAGCAUCUAGUAACUGAUUCUGUUUUAGUCCUAUAAGAGUUUUAAUUUGUUCUUGGGAGUAAUUAUAGUACUACACUAUUUGGGCAUUAGUUUGAAUUUUAUUCUCUGUUGCUGGUGAACUUUGUACUUUUUGAUCAGUUGUUGUCUGUGUACUAUGUUUUGCUUUUGUAACUCAACUUUGAUAAAGACGUCUGCUAAAUAAAAAUAAAACAAGUAAGAUGAACUAGUUUAUUAAUUAAAACAUGCUUUAAAUGGGGAAUAAUAUUAUUAUAGAUCAUGUGUUGUAAAGAAGGAUUCAACCAUUUUGCUGCUUCCCAUUGACACCUUGAGUAUUUAAAAUAAGACUAGAAUACAGUGUGAAAGAUGAUGUUUUUUAAAAUGUAAAAACAUAGUUUGAAUGGUAAUCACGUUAUUAACAGUUGACAUAAAGGUGAGAAAAAUGGUGCCUAAUUAUAUUUGGGUGCCAUUUUUAAAGGUCUUUUUUAAUGUCAAUUUUUGAUGAAAUAGAAAAUAAUAUGAAAGAUGGAGUACAGGCAUUUUUCUACCUAAAGCCACUAUAUGGGAUGAGAGUAAAAAUAUUCACUGUUGAGGGAAUUGGUGGGUAUCAAGUUUGAUACUUAUGCUGUAUUUGCAAUUGUUUAAUAAAAUAUGCGUAUUUCCUGUUGUGUCAAACCGGAACUUGUUGAGUAC